AAGUGGAGCAAUCCAUAAGUACAGUGGCGUACGGGUGAGUAACACGUGACUAACCUACCCUCGAGUGGGGAAUAACCUCGGGAAACCGGGGCUAAUACCGCAUAACAUCUACGGAUCAAAUGCGUAAGCAGCUUGAGGAGGGGGUCGCGGCCGAUUAGCUAGUUGGCGGGGUAAUGGCCCACCAAGGCAAUGAUCGGUAGCCGGCCUGAGAGGGCGCACGGCCACACUGGAACUGAAACACGGUCCAGACUCCUACGGGAGGCAGCAGUGGGGAAUUUUGCGCAAUGGGGGAAACCCUGACGCAGCAACGCCGCGUGGAGGAUGAAGCCCCUUGGG
rnacentral:rRNA from 1 species